rnacentral:rRNA from 1 species
GACGAACGCUGGCGGCGUGCCUAAUACAUGCCAGUAGAACGCUGAAGAGAGGAGCUUGCUCUUCUUGGAUGAGUUGCGAACGGGUGAGUAACGCGUAGGUAACCUGCCUGGUAGCGGGGGAUAACUAUUGGAAACGAUAGCUAAUACCGCAUAAAAUUGAUUAUUGCAUGAUAAUUAAUUGAAAGAUGCAAUUGCAUCACUACCAGAUGGACCUGCGUUGUAUUAGCUAGUUGGUGAGGUAACGGCUCACCAAGGCGACGAUACAUAGCCGACCUGAGAGGGUGAUCGGCCACACUGGGACUGAGACACGGCCCAGACUCCUACGGGAGGCAGCAGUAGGGAAUCUUCGGCAAUGGGGGGAACCCUGACCGAGCAACGCCGCGUGAGUGAAGAAGGGUUUCGGAUCGUAAAGCUCUGUUGUAAGAGAAGAACGGGUGUGAGAGUGGAAAGUUCACACUGUGACGGUAUCUUACCAGAAAGGGACGGCUAACUACGUG